rnacentral:tRNA from 1 species
GCUCGCUUGGUGAAAUAGGUAAACACUGCAGACUUAAAAUCUGUUCCUCUUUGGUUAUCGGUUCAAGUCCGAUAGUGAGCA